rnacentral:rRNA from 1 species
AUUGAACGCUGGCGGCAUGCCUUACACAUGCAAGUCGAACGGCAGCACGGGGCAACCUGGUGGCGAGUGGCGAACGGGUGAGUAAUGCAUCGGAACGUGCCAUUGAGUGGGGGAUAACGUAGCGAAAGUUGCGCUAAUACCGCAUAUUCUGUGAGCAGGAAAGCAGGGGGACCGCAAGGCCUUGCGCUCUUUGAGCGGCCGAUGUCAGAUUGGCUAGUUGGUGAGGUAAAGGCUUACCAAGGCGACGAUCUGUAGCGGGUCUGAGAGGAUGAUCCGCCACACUGGAACUGAGACACGGUCCAGACUCCUACGGGAGGCAGCAGUGGGGAAUUUUGGACAAUGGGCGCAAGCCUGAUCCAGCCAUGCCGCGUGAGUGAAGAAGGCCUCGGGUUGUAAAGGU